GUUAUUUUUCUACAAGUGGGUCCGUUAUACCCAACCCUGCUUUCCUGCAAUUAUUUAGUCUCCAAAGUUUUUUUUUUUAUCAUUUCUUCUUCUUCUUCUUCUUCUUCUUCCCACUACGAGUCGAACUCUGUAGUAAAGUGUAAUUGACUCGGGCGCAUCUCAAACAGACAGGAGGCCACUCUUCUGGCCAAAAGUAAAAGUCCAGGAAAUAAACUGGACGGUGUUUACAAUAAAAUAUGAUAUUAAUUACAUCUAUGUACACUGGUUAUCCUGCUGUCUAUUUCAGAUGUGGCUGGGUCCAGGGGAUGGUAUUCACUCUGGCCCUGAAGUCCUCUAGAGAUCCAGACUCCACUACAGAU
rnacentral:lncRNA from 1 species